GCAGCUCGGGCUGGGCGUGCACGCAGCCCCCGCCGGCACAGAAACGGCGCGGCGGUCACUUGCGAGCGCCAGGAAGUAAAGCGCUCGCCAGAGUGUGUCGCGGACCAGGAGGGACCGGAGGCGCCUGUCCGCGGGAACGCAGCUCCCACGACGGAAGCCCACGCCCUGCAGGCCCACCCGCCGCUCCAAAUGUUGUCGUCUGACGCAUCAAGCCAGUAAGGCUGAGGCUUCCAGCUGCCUUGAGCGAUGUCGGGAGGGACCUUCAGGCCAAACGCUGCAAGUUGCAGAUCUCACCUGUGCGGUUCCUGACUUCCAUGGACUGACUCCACAGCAGUUACUGCCUUCCACUGAUCAUGCUCCAGUGCCUACUGUCAACCUAAAAUAAUCACAAAGGCUGGUCAAGUGAAGCAGUGGGAGUGGAGAAGGAACAAAUGCACUGGUAUAAUUUCUUUCGUAAACCAUUUGGCAGUAGCUACUAAAGUUAAAUUUACACAUACCCUCUGAUCCCCAGUUCUAUGACUAGGUAUAUACACAACAAAAAUGCAUGUAUGUGCCAAAAGACACCUACAGGAAUAUUUGUAGCAGGAUUGUUUGUAAAGCCCCAAACUGAAAACAAGCAAAAUAUCCAUUAAUUUUCGAAUAGAUAUAUAAAUUACAGAUAAGCAUAUAUGAUGUUGCUGAAAAAUGGCCCCCCUAAGAUACCAAGUCCUAAUCUCUGGAACCUGUCGAUGUUACCUGACUUGGAAAAAUUGACUUUACAGCUAUGAUUAAGCUAAAGCUCCUGAGAUGGGGACAUUAUCCUGGAUUAUGUGGGUGACUCUGGGUGUCAUCACAUGUGUCCUUAUGGGGGAGACAGGAGGAUAUUUAGUACACAUAGAAGAGGAGGAGGCAACAUGGCCAAGGAAGCAGAGACUGAGUGACGUGUCCACAAGACCAGGAAUGCCGGCAGCUGCUGGGAGCCAGCAGAGGUCAGGGUUCUCCCUCAGCCUCAGCAGAAGCGCGGCCCUGCGACACAUUGGCUAAGGCAUAGUGAUACUGAUUUUGCAUUUUUGGCCUCCAGAACUGUGAGAGAAUAAAUCUCUGUUGUUUUAAGCCACUAAGAUUGUAAACUGUUAUAGCAGCCAUUGGAAACUAAUACUCCAUGCAAUGGUGUAUAAAAAACAAAUAAAAAUAAAUAAACUACUCUACACAUAACAUGG